rnacentral:tRNA from 1 species
GCCUGGGUGGCACAGUGGUUGAGCGUCUGCCUUCAGCUCAGGGUGUGGUCCUGGCGUUGUGGGAUCGAGCCCCACAUCGGGCU